rnacentral:rRNA from 1 species
UACGAAGGGGGCUAGCGUUGUUCGGAAUUACUGGGCGUAAAGGGCGCGUAGGCGGCGUGUCAAGUCAGGCGUGAAAGCCCCGGGCUCAACCUGGGAACCGCGCUUGAGACUGGCAUGCUCGAGUUCGGGAGAGGAUGGUGGAAUUCCCAGUGUAGAGGUGAAAUUCGUAGAUAUUGGGAAGAACACCGGUGGCGAAGGCGGCCCACUGGAUCGGUACUGACGCUGAGGUGCGAAAGCGUGGGGAGCAAACAGG